GUCGGUGUAGUAUAGUGGUAGUACGCCGCGUUGUGGUGAUGCCGUUUCGCAUUCUACAGUUCCGCGUUGACGCUGGUUCGAUUCCAGCCACCGACA